GCCGCGCCGCCACCGCGCCCGCCCCGGGCGAGCCCCGCGCCGCCAGCCCCGGCACUUCCGCGUCCACCUCCCCGGCGGCCGGGCCGGGCCGCGCUCGGCCGCGCUCGACUCGGAGGACCGAUGCCAACGACGCCAGGGGGUGGGCGCUCCCCUUGUGCUGGAGGUUGUGUCCGGCGGGGAUCCCGGCUCUCCCCCCGCUGCCUGGGCCCUGAGCGCUCCCGCUUUUCCCUCCGGCAGCAGGGUGCCUGGAAAUGCCUAGGUUAAAGCAGAACGAAACCCAGGCGUACGAAGAAAUCCGCGUCUCAUCCUGCUUCCUUACAAAUACAGCAUGAAAACUUUCGCUUUUUCUCCUUACGCUGCCUUUCAUCUUGCUUGUGUACUCUUCCCUCCAAAAAAACACCCUGAAGAAAUAUUUGUAAAUAAACAUCAAUCAGCAACCCUGGUAAUCUUCAAGAGUAAUCUUGAGAACUGGGGCUUGCUCACUGUCUUCCAUUUAUUUUAGCUCCACCAUUUUAUUUUAGCUCUAGCAAGGCUGUUAAGCAUUUUAUCUGUAUUAAAAUUGAUCUGAAUUCC